GGCUGCUGCUGUCCUUCCUCUGAGACUCCAGAGCACGUGUCUUCUCCUCGAAGGACACAGAUGAGCAGGAUGUUUUUGUCUUCCUCAGGCUUCAGUGGCUCUGAACCAGUCUGUUUUGUCGGUGUGCUGCGCCAUCUUUCUCUCCGGAGUCUGCCUUUACCAUUGUCUCAGAGGAGUUUUACGUUAUUCUGGGGCUCUGUGUCAUGCUCAUUUGCUGCAUGAGUCAAACUGCAUCACACCAUCCUCAAACACAAUUUUCUGACUGACAGCUCUUAGAAUGGCAACUUACAUUGAGUGAUGGGCCAUUUUUCCUGAGCCAGACAAAACAGAUGAAACACAAAAAGGCCCCCCUGCAGUACUGCUGUGGACCCCCUGUUGAAGAACCCUGCUGUAUUGUUACAUUUUCAGUUGGAUUUUUGAAAAAUAUUGAAAACAAGGUUGGCGACCACAUGCAAAGAGAUCAAUUCAGAAACAAAGAUAUUAAAUUGGCUUAGGUGUUUGUGUGGUUCAGAAACUCUCUGAUGUACUGUGUAUCUGACUCAAGCCGAGUUUUCAAAUACUUUGCUCUGAAAUGGAUAAAAUUUGUGUUGUGAAGAUACACCACUAGUCAUAAAGGAGAUCACGGCUCAGAUGCUUUGAGAGACAGAUAUCUGUCUUGAAUCCUCUAUGAGAAUUGAUGCAUUUAUCAUUAAACAUGAUAAAUGCAUUUAUUAUAUGUUUCGUAGAUGCAAGAAAAAAACUAUUCUUGAGGCAAAUAUCUCAUGAAGUCUUUGGCUCCCUGCAAGUGCUCCUGAAGAAAUAUGCCAUGUUGAAUGUACCGUUAUGUGUGUGAAAUAUAAAAAAUAGCGCUGAGAUUAGAAAUGGCUAGUGACCUGGGAAUAAUCCACAUUAGAUACAUUGACUGUUAGACUUGUCUAAACUCAUUUUAUUCUUCUCUAUGCACCUUAAGUUCAUGUGUGAACCUUAUGUUUCAAACCCAUAGAGGUUAGAAAAUGUAUGCUAUGUAGAAUGAACAUGGUUUUUCUUAUUAUUUAAAAAUAUAUAUUAACAUACAUUCAAAAGUUUGGAGUCAGUAAGAUUUUUAGGAAGAAAUUAAUCCAAACUGUCAGUAAACACUUCAUUAACUA